GUCCUACGGGGGGCAGCAGUAGGGAAUUUUCGUCAAUGGGCGCAAGCCUGAACGAGCAAUGCCGCGUGAACGAGGAAGGUCUUCGGAUCGUAAAGUUCUGUUGACGGGGAAAAAAGACCGGGAAAGGAAAUGAUCCCGGAGGAGAUAUUACCCGUCGAGGAAGUCACGGCUAACUACGUGCCAGCAGCCGCGGUAAUACGUAGGAUGCGAGCGUUAUCCGGAUUUAUUGGGUUUAAAGGGUGCGUAGGCGGAAUGCCAAGUCAGCGGUAAAAUCGCGGGGCUCAACCUCGCUCCGCCGUUGAAAC
rnacentral:rRNA from 1 species